CCUACGGGUGGCAGCAGUGGGGAAUAUUGCACAAUGGGGGAAACCCUGAUGCAGCGACGCCGCGUGAGUGAAGAAGUAAUUCGUUAUGUAAAGCUCUAUCAGCCGGGAAGAAAAUGACGGUACCUGAGUAAGAAGCCCCGGGUAACUACGUGCCAGCAGCCGCGGUAAUACGUAGGGGGCAAGCGUUAUCCGGAUUUACUGGGUGGAAAGGGAGCGUAGACGAGAGUGCAAGUCCGGAGUGAAAGGCGGGGGCUCAACCCCCGGACUGCUCUGGAAACUGUACGGCUGGAGUGCAGGAGAGGUAAGUGGAAUUCCUGGUGUAGCGGUGAAAUGCGUAGAUAUCAGGAGGAACACCAGUGGCGAAGGCGGCUUACUGGACUGUAACUGACGUUGAGGCUCGAAAGCGUGGGGAGCAAACAGGAUUAGAUACCCCUGUAGUC
rnacentral:rRNA from 1 species